rnacentral:rRNA from 1 species
UACAGAGGGCUCAAGCGUUGUUCGGAUUCAUUGGGCGUAAAGGGUGCGUAGGCGGCGCUGUAAGUCGGGUGUGAAAUUUCGGAGCUUAACUCCGAAACUGCAUUCGAUACUGCGGUGCUUGAGGACUGGAGAGGAGACUGGAAUUCAUGGUGUAGCAGUGAAAUGCGUAGAGAUCAUGAGGAAGACCAGUGGCGAAGGCGGGUCUCUGGACAGUUCCUGACACUGAGGCACGAAGGCCAGGGGAGCAAACGGG